CGUCCCGCCGGCGACCGGCGCACGGGUGAGUAACACGUAUGCAACCUGGCCGCCACAGGGGGAUAACCCGCGGAAACGCGGCCUAAUACCCCGUGACGCCACCGGAGGGCAUCCUCCGGUGGCCAAAGGAGCGAUCCGGUGGCGGAUGGGCAUGCGGCGCAUUAGCUAGACGGCGGGGUGACGGCCCACCGUGGCGACGAUGCGUAGGGGUUCUGGGAGGAAGGCCCCCCACACUGGGACUGAGACACGGCCCAGACUCCUACGGGAGGCAGCAG
rnacentral:rRNA from 1 species